AUAGCUGUCCUCUGACAUCUGAAGGAGCUCAUGGUCAUCAAAAAGAGGACUAAGAUGUCCAUCUGGCACCAAUAAAACAGACAAGCAAAAUGAAUCAAAACUGGUAAAAAAAAAAACCAACAGGUGUUGACAGUAGGAUACAAAAAGGACCCAAGGGCCAAAUCCUGAUGCUCAACAUGGGCUCUGAGUAAAAACCAAGCACAUGCUUCCUGGCAGCUUCCUGAAACCCCUGCUCCAUACAUUAAGGAACUGGAAGUGCUACUGAUGUGCACCAGAUCUUACUGUGCUGACAUGGCUCGAGUUUCUUCCAAGAACCACAAAGCCAUCACAGAAAAAGCAGCACAGCUGGCCAUCAAAAUCACCAAUCCUAAUGCCAGGCUGCAAAAUUAAGAAAAUGAA
rnacentral:lncRNA from 1 species